rnacentral:rRNA from 1 species
UACGUAGGGUGCAAGCGUUGCCCGGAUUUAUUGGGCGUAAAGGGCGCGUAGGCGGCUCGGCACGUCCGUUGUGAAAUCGCCCGGCUCAACUGGGCGGGGUCAGCGGAUACGGCCGCACUUGAGCAAGCUAGGGGGCAAUGGAAUUCCCGGUGUAGUGGUGGAAUGCGUAGAUAUCGGGAGGAACACCAGUGGCGAAGGCGGUUGCCUGGAGCUUUGCUGACGCUGAGGCGCGAAAGCGUGGGAGCGAUCCGG